UUUCCGUAGGUGAACCUGCGCGAAGGAUCAUUGUCGAAAGCCUCGUAGUAGAAAGACUUGUUAACCCGUAAAACUCCGGCGCAGCAGCGCCAAGGAUUUUCAUAAUGAGAAUGCAACCUCGUAGAGCUUUAUUUCGCUGCUUGUGGGGUUGGCAUCCUUUUAACUAAAUGACUCUCGGCAAUGGAUAUCUUGGCUCUUGCAUCGAUGAAGAACGUAGCGAAAUGCGAUACUUGGUGUGAAUUGCAGAAUCCCGUGAACCAUCGAAACUUUGAACGCAAGUUGCGCCUCAAGCCAUUAGGUUGAGGGCACCGUUUGCUUGGGUGUCAUUCGUUAUGUCUCCCCUCUUGUGUGGUGUGGGAGCAGAUUGUGGCCUCCUGGGCCCUUCCUUGGGUGUGGUUGGCUGAAAAUGUUGUCCUUGAUUUUGUUGAUGUCUUGGUGUGCGGUGGAUGUACCAAGUGUGCAUAAUUGCCAGCCUUGCUUGACUUCGUUGUGGCCUUUUGAUCCUUAGAAGCUGUCGGUGUGGGCUCUUUGAUUGCGACCCCAAGUCAGGCGAGACUACCCGCUGAGUUUAA
rnacentral:rRNA from 2 species